CACACACACACACACACACACACACACACACACCUUCUACUCUUGCCCUCCACACCUUAAGAUGGAGAAUGAAGGGGAAAAGAGGGAGACAGAGACACAGGCAGAGACAGCUUCCCAGUGAGAAAAGAAUACAGAGACAUGCAAGAAAGAACCAUGAGACAGAAUCGGAGAGCAGAGACUGAGAAACAGGACAGAGACCACCGAGAAGUCCCAGAGGGAGAGGAAGAGGGGCUUCUGAGCAGCGAAUUGCUGAUACACAUUUGAACAAACUGGAGUGCCCUGCCGGCGGCCUCACAUUCUGUCUGUGGAUGGAGGGGGAGAAGCAAGGUGAUGCCUAAUUUGCAGUCAGAGGAAAGGAUAGAGACUCUUAACUUGUGGUGCCAAAACCCUUACUGGAAAAUGGGGGCCUUCAUCAACAUAGAGGGAAAGUCUUUAAGAGUCUGAGGACAAACUUUGCAGUUCAAGCUACAGCAUGACCUUCCCGUGGAGUUUCACUCGGAGACGCCGGGACAAUCAAGAAGAUCAUUGUGGCAGAACAUGGAGACGAGUGAGGUCGAAGUUGUAGAGGGCGCGGCAGAGUGGCGGCGGCUGGGGCAGUUGCUUGAUGACUUGCACAGAGUUUACUGGGAAGAUGCCACUGACUCCGUUGAUCUCCCCCUGGUACCAGUUCUCGUCCAGCUGUCUCCGCAGGAGGACGACAUCUCCCUUGUUAAACCUCAGGUCGCCGGGACUCUGCCCUCGGUAGUUGCACAAGGCUUUUGCUCGAGGCACCUGGAGUGGCACAGACCAAUGACACACGCACUCUGAGAGGUCAUUGGCAUCGCUAACGCUGCUGCAAGUCAGAAUGGACUUAAUGGCAGGGAGUUGCUGCUGUUUUUUCCUGUGUAAGUUUGGUAUGUGAAUGGUCUCAUUUACUGUACGUAGUCCUCUAAAAUAGCCACUGCUAUUAUCUCUGAUUAUCAGAUACAGUAAGCGAGGUAAGAGUGGUUCAACGACUUGCCUAAAGUGACACAGCUGGAAAAUGGCAGCUCCAGGGCCUGAACCCGUGCUAGCUGAUUCUAGGCUUUCGUUCUUAUCACUAUGCCCGUAGCAAGCUUUGGAUGUCAUAACUACGUGAACUUGAGUGAGCCAUUGAUGCCUUUUUGAUCUGACUCCUGGCUCCAUCUCUGUCCACAGUGUGACUAUGCUGGAAUUAUUUAAUCUUCCUCAUGCUGUAAUCCCUUCAUUUAUAAAAUGGGCUGAGGAUAGUGGUACUAAGGUUGUUGCGAAGAAGUUUAUUGUUGGUGUGUCCUAGUCCACUGUGGAAGCCAUGUCCUACUUCUGAGUGCCUUCUAACCUAUGGGGCUCAUCUUCUGGCUCUAUAUUAGACACUCUUCUGUUGUGAUCCAUAGGAUUCUUCUGGCUAGUGUUCAGCAGUUGUUAGUCACACUCCCCCCACCCCCCCAACCACCAGUCUCUCUUAGUCUGGGAGCUGAAAUCUAUCUACUCUGGGUGACCCUACUAAUAUUUGAAACAUUGAUGGCAUAGUUUCCAGCAUCAAAGCAACACAAAGCUACUAAAAUAUGUCAAAUGUUCCGAUAGGUAGUGGAUUCUUAUUCAUAUGGAGAACUACUUGUGGCUCAAUAAUUAUGUACUCAACUGCUAACUAAAAUAUCAGUGGUUCAAUCCCACCAGCAACUCCAAGGAAGAAAAGACUUGGCAGUUUGCUUCCAUAGAGAUUACAGCCUAGGAAACCCGAUGAGGAAAUUCUACUCUGUUCUCUGGGGUUUCUCUGAGUCUGGGCUGACCUGAUGGCGUAUGACAACAAUAACAAUGAUAUCCAUUGUUGCCUACUCCUCAGUGUUGAUGGGAAACAAAUUGAGAUGAGAACUGUCAGAAAAUAGAGAUUAUUAUAUGAGAGUGCUGUAGUAUAAUCUGUCUUCAGCUUUCUCUAGAAAGUGUAAAUAUCACAAGGAAUUGGAUCAUUAGGAAGUUCAAAUGAGACAAAGAAACAAUUAGUAAUCAGUCAAUUAAAAAAAUCAUUUGUCAAAUCAUUUGUCUAAACUUCAAUCAAGUAUAUUUCUUUUUUCCUAUUUGUGACUGAUUUUUAUCCAUGCAGAAAUGGCCUCACUUUGGUCUUGUUCUGAGUCAAUUUGGCAAAUUGGAAGUUCAAACAACUUAGGUUUAAUACCAACCCUUCAAGGUCAUGUGGGAUAGUAUUUUGUUUGGUGUUUUUCUCGACAUUGGUACAAAAUAGUCCCGUCAGGGUGACCGUGUUGCUAUUUGUAAUGGAGUGCAGGGAGACAUUGAUUCAGCUCUCUGAGUACUUUCCAAGUCUACAAUGUUCAUUUAAAAAGCAACUGACUGGAGAUAGAGACAAGAUCUGUCCACCACUUUGCUGAUGGGACGGUGGAGUGAAACUUCUCUGCUGCUCCCUACAUAUAGCAAGGGAGCCCAGUGACUAGACAACCACAGGAACACAGCAUGUCCUUGGGAAACUCAUUACCAAGUGGUCAGAGACAUGUGUACUAGAAGGUUUAUCACUGUGUUCUGAAUAAAAAAUAGUGAAUUGGUUGAAUCAAUUUGGAUACACCCAUAUAAUGGAAAGCUAUACAGUCAUUAAAAUCAAUGAUACUGACUAUAAUUAAUAUCAUUGAGUUGCUGACAAUACACUGUUGUAAUAGAAGCUAUUAAAAGCAAUGAUGUAAACCAUGCUUUCAUUA